UACAGAGGUCCCAAGCGUUGUUCGGAUUCACUGGGCGUAAAGGGUGCGUAGGUGGUCAGGUCAGUCUGAUGUGAAAUCUCCGAGCCUAACUCGGAAACUGCAUUGGAUACUACUUGGCUGGAGGGUUGGAGGGGGGACUGGAAUACUUGGUGUAGCAGUGAAAUGCGUAGAUAUCAAGUGGAACACCAGUGGCGAAGGCGAGUCCCUGGACAACUCCUGACACUGAGGCACGAAAGCUAGGGGAGCAAACAGG
rnacentral:rRNA from 1 species